rnacentral:rRNA from 1 species
GUGUUCAAUUCUGUUUGAUCCUGGCAGAUGUUACUGCUAUUGGGAUUCGAUUAAGCCAUGCAAGUCGAACGAAUUUAGAUUCGUGGCGUACGGCUCAGUAACACGUGGAUAAUCUACCCUUAGGACCGGGAUAACCUUGGGAAACUGAGGAUAAUACUGGAUAGGCAAUUAUUCCUGUAAUGGUUUUUUGUUUAAAUGUUUUUUCGCCUAAGGAUGAGUCUGCGGCCGAUUAGGUAGUUGGUUAGGUA